GACAGAGGAUGCAAGCGUUAUCCGGAAUGAUUGGGCGUAAAGCGUCUGUAGGUGGCUUUUUAAGUCUGCCGUCAAAUCCCAGGGCUUAACCCUGGACAGGCGGUGGAAACUACCAAGCUGGAGUACGGAAGAGGCGAGUGGAAUUCCUGGUGUAGCGGUGAAAUGCGCAGAUAUCAGGAGGAACACCGAUUGCGAAGGCAGCUCGCUGGGACGUCACUGACGCUGAGGCGCGAAAGCGUGGGGAGCAAACAGG
rnacentral:rRNA from 1 species